rnacentral:rRNA from 1 species
CCCUUAGAUGUUCUGGGCCGCACGCGUGCUACACUGAGUGGAUCAGCGGGUCAGGUUGCGCGAAAGCGUUUCCUAAUCUUUAAAUCCGCUCGUGAUGGGGAUUGACGGUUGCAAUUUUCCGUCAUGAACGAGGAAUACCUUGUAAGCGCGGGUCAUCAUCCCGCGCUGAAUACGUCCCUGCCCUUUGUACACACCGCCCGUCGCUCCUACCGAUUGAGUGGUCCGGUGAGGCUUUGGGAUCUGGGCGGAAAGAGCGUUUCGCUGUUUCUGCCCGGAAAACUCAGUCGAACCUUAUCAUUUAGAGGAAGGAGAAGUCGUAACA